rnacentral:lncRNA from 1 species
CUUCUCCUUAAUAUGAUAUAUUUACUUUAGAACUCAAAAUAUAGUGCAUCCCGUAAAUAACUUACAAAAUAUAUUUAAUUAAUAUAUUUGAUAGGUCAUUUCUACUAAAUAUGAAGGUGUUAUUGAUAUCUAAUAUUGAAUUACGUCAUUUGAAAUAUAUUCCCUACGUAUGUGGACUCAGGAAGUGAUGGAACGGUUUGAGGCCUUAUCACGAUGUUGUUUACUUGAAUAAACAAGAGGGAAAUCUUAGAUAAUUUGAUAUGCUUAUAUUAAGAAAAUGAGUUCGAAGGAAUAUAUUUUUGUAUAAAAUUAGGAAAAGAUCUGGAUGAGGAAGCUGAAAGAGUGUGAAAAGAUAGAGUUCGAACAGGUAUUUGAUUGAACCGUUGUAGUAUUGAGUCAAGUGUGUGUGUGUGUUUUUUUCUUUUCCCUCUCUUCUCACACUAUGGCGCCCACCGCCUUCUUUUUCAAAUUCAAAAAAAGGAAGAAAAAAAGAAGUUGAAGAUCAAGAAGAAGUUCUAGUGAACCAUGGCCUCCAAGAAUAUCUACUAUUCAGAAAAAUACUUUGACGAUAAGUAUGAGUAUCGACAUGUAAUGCUCCCCAAGGAGUUGGCCAAGCUUGUUCCCAAGACUCACUUGAUGUCUGAGUCGGAAUGGAGGAAUUUGGGAGUACAGCAGAGUCAAGGAUGGGUUCAUUAUAUGGCACACGAACCUGAGCCACACAUUCUGCUCUUUCGACGACCCAUGACGUAAUGUUGAAGCAAGUGAUGCCGAAGAAGAUGAUAAUGAUGAUCCGUGAUGCCCAUGAAAAUGAUGAUGACGACUCCGCCACCUCAACGUGUUUAUGUUUAUCCCUACUUUUUGAUUUCGACUUGAUUCCUACACCACCUUUAAAAGUGUUUGAUGGCCAAUCUUAAAAUUUGUAACCAUGUUCUGUGAUUGAUUCCCCAUACUUUACCGUGACUACGAGAGAGAUGAUGGCAUUUCCUUUACUUUUUUAAACUUGAUUCCCCUUACUCACUUACUUAUUUACUUACUACCUACUAUUACUACUAUUAAUAUUAAUAUUAUUCACUACUUAUCCCCACCCCCUUUCUCGAUAUUAUCCGUGUGUCUUUGGCCAUUCUGUUCCUGUAUCCACUUUUUAUCAUUACUAUUACGUUUAUUACUCCUACUUACUUAUUCAGUUGCUAUUCAAAAUAUUAUUCUUAUUGUAUCUAAAGAAAGCAAAUUAAAUACACAUUUCCUUCCAAUUUUUUAAGAAGAA